rnacentral:rRNA from 1 species
GACGAACGCUGGCGGCGUGCUUAACACAUGCAAGUCGAGCGGAAAGGCCCUUCGGGGUACUCGAGCGGCGAACGGGUGAGUAACACGUGAGUAACCUGCCCCAGACUUUGGGAUAACCCUCGGAAACGGGGGCUAAUACCGGAUACGACACAGCUUCGCAUGGGGUUUGUGUGGAAAGUUUUUCGGUUUGGGAUGGGCUCGCGGCCUAUCAGCUUGUUGGUGGGGUGAUGGCCUACCAAGGCGACGACGGGUAGCCGGCCUGAGAGGGCGACCGGCCACACUGGGACUGAGACACGGCCCAGACUCCUACGGGAGGCAGCAGUGGGGAAUAUUGCACAAUGGGCGGAAGCCUGAUGCAGCGACGCCGCGUGAGGGAUGACGGCCUUCGGGUUGUAAACCUCUUUCAGCAGGGACGAAGCGUAAGUGACGGUACCUGCAGAAGAAGCGCCGGCCAACUACGUG